UUAGGAAAAGAUAGGCGAACGAAAGUGGACCGAACUUUAUUUAGGAUUGCAGAUGAUUGGACCACAUUUAACAAUUACGAUUGGGGAGGGUUGGUUUUUGGACGUACACUUUCUGCCUUAAAACGAGCCUUGGACAUGCAACAUGCCAAGGGAAAGAAUAAAUCAACUAAGACAAAAUAUACUGUCAUGGGAUUUCCGCAGGCGUUACAGGUUUGGGCAUAUGAGUCUAUACCAACCAUCACUGAAUGUGGUGUACAUAAAGUAAGCAACGAUGCAAUACCACGAAUGCUGAGGUGGGUGUGCGAACUAUCGCCGAAGUCUCAUGUACCUACAUUUGCAAGUUUGAGAGCUUCACCAUAUCUAAGCAAUAGAUUAUAUGACUCUUCAGGACACCCGCGCACUCGUUCAUACACAUUUUCUCUAGCGCGCCAUGUUUUUCAUAACUCAUAUUUAUGCCAUAGUCUUGCCUCAUGUCUUCUAUGAUAUCACGUGGUUGUAUAGACGACCGACUCCCUUGAACUUUGACUUUAUUAAUUCUCCAACAACCCAAGAUUUUGCUUGCCUAUGGUCACGAUUCAAAACGUCAAGAGAACACGAAUGAACUUUGACAUACUUUUUAAUCUUAAAUAUAUUUGAAUCCUUCAAUCUCAUCGCUCGCAGUCUCCAACCACACUUGUUGUCAAUGCAUCUAACAAAGAGAACCUCUUUUGUAGACUUUUUUACUACAAACUGAAAAAAAAAAA